rnacentral:lncRNA from 1 species
GGCCGUCGGAUCAAACUGACAUUAAUCGCACAGUUUUUCUUGAUCCUUUAGGUCGGUGGAACAUGAUCUCUGAAAAGGACUCUGUUUGGGCACUGUAGGUGGGCAGGCGCCCAGGAGAUUAGGGCACGCGCCCUGCCUCCGAGCCCGAUCGCCUUCCUGUUCGUUCCCAUGGCUUCUGGAGUCUUCUAGAUGGUAGAAAAUUGCACGACACGUUAAUAUCUCUAUGUAAACCUGACGUGUGGGCCUUUCCUCCGUAUUUCCUGAUAACCCCCUGCAGAAAUAGACAAACACCAAAACUCGUGGAAUUUUGUGAGAUAAAACCCUAAGUCUAGGUGUUGGUUGCAUUUGGGUCCUUUUCCAUGAUUAGUUGACGGUUAAAUGUGAACAUUAAGGACCGUCAACAAGCUCCCCCAAGCUUAAUCUUUGCUCGCCCCUAAGCAAAGAUGAACUCAAGAGUUUCUGCAGUGGUUUCAUGCCUUAAAUAUAUACAUGCGUUCAAACAAGAUCUCAUCUCUGGGUUAGGGUAAACUGUUAAGAUUUAAACUUACUCAUUUUUCCUUCCACCAUGGGGCUUGCAACCGUCACUUGUGUCUUGAGCAGUUAAAAGAUAGAACGGUCUAAUCAAGCGCCAUGUCUCUUGUUCUUUGAUUAACUAUAGCUCUGGAGUUUUUGCAGAUUUUCAAAUAAAACUCAGAGAUUCCUUGUAUGACUCUCUCUAGUCUCUCUUUUGUGGUAUUUCUGGAUCCUUACCAAGGCAGUAAUGGUGUAUGCCUACUCUCAAAGUAUGUGGUAUUGUUGGUAUGAGGCAUAGUGGCAUUGCCAUCUCUCUGACCCUACUCUAAUAAGGUUUUGAUAUCUGGAGCUCAUAGGUGGGAGACAGCUAAUACAUACUUACAAAACAUUUAUUGCAUAGUCAAACCAUGGAUCCAGAAGAACAAGUCAAUAAGUCAAAUCAAGAUGUGCAUGUGUGGCGAAUGAAUGGUGUAUGGUGACGAUGGUGAUAACAAUGGUGAAAGUCUAAUUCUACUUGUGCUCUUUUGAGGGGAUACAUACCUUUCUUGCUCUUUUGAAACUUUUUGAGGAGAAUGAGAUGCUCUAUAUUUUAUUUUUCUUUUCUCUCAGGUGGGUAUCUUGUACCCCUAAUUCUACUGUCGGACACUUGUCCAUUUUUACCUCUCGUCUCACUUUUUCUUUUCUUCGAGGUUCCGGGCACUUGCCCCUUUUUAUUUCCUCGUAUCCUUUUUUUUCUUUUUUUUAGAGCACUCAGCUCCUGAAAUAAUAUAGCAAGUGGUAGUAACCAAGAUAACUUGAGCAUUUAUUUCACAGAGAAAAACAAGAAUAGGAGAAUGUUUUUGGCUAUUCUCUCCCGGAUUAGGAGUAGAAUAUUUUUUGGGUGGUUCUGGAGAUGGAAAUAGAUGGAUAUAUGUGGAUGCGUACUUCUGGAGUAGAAGCAACAUGUAUGAGUGAACGUGCAAGUAAAUCUUGAUUUAACCACAUGACAAGCUCCUAAGGGUCUACACAGCUUGACCACACUCAAUGCUCAUAAGCAGUAAAAAGUAAAUGUGUGGCUCAAAGUUUAGUAAGCAUGUAUAUAUGGCUGUGGUAGGAAUUUAAACUCUCAUCAUACAGCAACUCAUCAUGUGAUAUUUUAAAGAUUUUCAAAGAUAAAAUUCUCUAGAAUUCUAGCAUCUCUAGGAACAGAUAAACAGCAGCUCAACCUUCCCAUAUCAUAUCCGUUAACGACUUAGACUUUAGAUCAAGUACUCUCCCCACAAGUUCAGGUUUAGAUCAAAUCUUAAUUAAUACCAGUCAUGCCUAAACUUGAGAGAGAUUUCAAUUUUAAGAACUAGUCAUGGCAGAGCAACUAUUCAUCAUUUCCAUGUGAGAGCUUAUCAUGAGAGUUCAUAGCAAACUUUAUUUAUUUAUUUAUUUAGCAAACUAAGCGAAGAUAUAUAUAAGCACAAAAUCUUUAUUUGGGUUUUUAUGAUUAUGCAUUUUUUUAUUAUUUGAGUAAAAUAUAAACAUGAGUAGAACACUUAGCUGGAGAAAUGGGGGUGCUCUCCCCCAAUCUGGAUUUUGACAUAAUUCCUUCUGAUGUAGCUAGCAAGUGGUGGAGGUGUAUUUGAAUGUCAACAGCACCCUGACAGCGAUUAGGAUGUCCUCCAUCUGCUAGUCUUCUUUGAUCCUUGAAUUCUGUGGAGCUCAAAUAGACAACAAAGCUUUAUGGAACUGGUUAAGUGUUAACAUAAAAUCUCUUAGCCUUUAUCAUGUUGAGCCUCCUCAAUAAAUGUUACUCUCUUUAGUAGGAUCUAUAUUUAUUUUAUUUUUAUGCCACCACAGUGAAUGUAACUAUGGGUUUUAUGCCAUGAGCAUACUCACAUGGGGCUUACUAUUUUUAACAUUUUUAUUUUCUUUUCAAGAUGAUAUAAACCUGAUUAACUAAGCAAACUAUUUUAAAAUAAUUGAAAGGAAAAGGAUAACUACCAAAUUUACCUCUUGGCAAGGCGUUCAGUGUUUUAAGUCCUCCGAAUGAGAUUCUCCUUUUUCUCAGUCGUCCUGGGAUUCGCUGGAUGGCGUAGUCAGUGGUUCCGCCAACGCCUCCUCUUCGUGUAUAACUAUCUUCUCUCUCCACACCUGACUUGGUGCUACGGUCUCCUCAGGACAGUUCUGUUCAAGCUGUAUGUCUUCAGUCAUUACUACUUCUCCUUCGUAGUCUGCCCAUCCGUCCUUGAUGAUUUGCCUCCUCUGGUUGCGGUUGCGUCGUCUCCUUCUUGUCCUGACCUGUUUAAAGUCUUCAACUAUAUAGUUAGGGUCAGCAAAAUAGCAGCGUACCUUCUCAGAGGAGAAGUGCAUGUGGACUUCUCCGAUUCCAAUGUAGAUGAUUGCUUUAGCGGUGCUGAGGAACGGUCUUCCAAGGAUGAUGGGUGGAUCAUACUCGUCUUCUCCCAUGUCAAUAACCUUCAAUCUUUUGGAGUGUCUGAUCUGCCAUCGGGAGCUGAAUGUAUGUCAAUUUUAGGGGCAUAGUUCCGAAUAGGAGCUGAUAGGUGACUGGGUCGUCCUUUUUGGUUAGGAACGGUGACUUAAGUCGACGGUCUUGACCUCCUUGAACUGCAGUGACCAUCUUAGCUGACUUGGUCCACAUUUGCUUGUUCUUGUUCCUCGUGUUGGUCCUCUUCCUUGGUUCAUGUCGGGAUUGCUCUGAGAUUUGUGUAGUCUUGUUCUUGAAGGAAAACGUCUCCUUCCUCCCCUUUAUGUAGAAACUGAUCUUAGGAGCACUAGCGUAGAUGACAACUCCCGAGGUGUUCAGGAAUGGCCUCCAUAGGAUGAUGAGUGCUGUCUCAUCAGUACCAGUCUCUAUCACCAUGAAGUCCUGGGCAUAAUGUUGACGCUGGAGCCAAAGUCGCAGAGUGCUUCUAGGAAGUCCACCAUGCCGAUGGAGAUCGGGAUGACUGGGCGUCCUAGAUCGCCUCUCUUGACCGGCAGAAGGUCAGUAAUUACUUCCACAACAGGGUUAUGCCAGUAGUUAUGUCCUCAAGCAAUUCGGGGCAGUGAUUGCCUGAGUGUCCAGUAUCUCUCGUGUGUUUAUGCUCGUAGAUCUAGGUUCUUCACUUGGUGGAGUCUGGGAGUUGUAAAACUCCUUCAUAUUUUGCUUCAAAGUGUACCUGCCCAUAGAGACAAGGUAGAGAUCAAGUGCAUGGGCCCUAUUGGUGGAAAACACCAACAAAACCAAAAGUGUAUUUGUUCUUCUCUAACCUCAAGCAUAGUGAGCAAGACAAAGUUGAUGGAUAAUAAGAUCAUGAGUGUAGCAUUUAAAACAUUUGUCAGAUCAGAUCACUCAACCUAAUGGAAAUAUAAUCUAUCUAUACUUAUGUUUUUAUAUAUAUAUAUAUAUUCCAAAGAUUGAGUGUGCAACAUUUUAGCUCAUAAGAUUAGGAGUGUGGGAUCACAAAGGUGGAAAGACUAAACAUAUUGAAUCGACUGGGUUGGUUAAUCUAGAGUUGUAAAUCAUACAUGUUUGUCUCUUUUAUUCAUGUGAACGCCAGAACCAAGGAGAAGCUUAUAAAAGUGAUAGUCAAGUACCUUAAGAUGUUACCUUACUUGAAGAGUGAUGGUACAAUAUCAUCUUGUGGAAGCUUUCCUUUCUUAGCGGUUGUGCAUCGUGUUUGUGGCACCCUCCAUGGAUCAUCUCUUGUGAGCUAUGCCUUUCUUGUGUAAAUUAUUAACCUUCAUGCGUCUCUCUCUUUGUCUCCAACGUGAGUUUAUCUCAGGACUUCCCAGGUUGAUAUUGAAAGUUUUCUUGCAGGGGUUAGUCCAACAAAAUAUCCCAUAUCUACUAUAGCAUACUAUCGGCUCAAAAAUCAACCUAGACACCAUGUCUAAUUUGAUUCAGGAGGGCAUUUUAACCUAAGCACCAUGCUUAAUUUAAAACCCCUUGGAAGUAAGAUCAUCAUUUCUAAACUAAGCACCAAGCUUAAUUAAGAGAUAAAUGAAACUACUCCAAACCUAGACAUAUACUAAAGCAAAUAAAGGUGGUAUGAGAGCUUUUAUAGAGAUCUACUCAAGUGGAGAUGGAGUAGUGUGAUUAGUAUUUAACAAAUUGAGCAUGUCUCAAAGGUAGGGACAACCAACAUAGCAACAUGGCAAUGGAUGUUUUUAUGUAAAGUACUCCCCCAAGCUUGAAUUUUGCAAAAUUCAAGUUUGGAUGAAUUUAAUUCAAUGUUGUAUGAUGAUUGGUUGGACAUACCUUGUGCUUGUCAUUCAUCCGAUCUUCUUGCUCUAAUCCUAGAAAGGUUAGUGACAAGAAUACCCAAAGGAAUAUUUUUACAAUUAUCCUUAUUUGCUCAACACACAAGGUAAUGUUGCAAAUAAUUAAAAGCUCAUGUUACGAUCUGAUCAGUGCUUAUUUUAGGACACUAAGCUUGUCCUUGGGAAACCAUCAAUUUAUGUCGACGAAGUGGUUUCCCCUCCAACGCUGACCUAUAUCAUGAUCAACUCAACGAGAUCUGCAAUAUUUAAUAUAGACAUAUGCAUCGACAACCCCCCUUUUAAAGUUUUUAUAAAUAGAAAGGAUGAGGGGGUUGGAGAUCUCGAAUGUGGUGAUGUUGGAAAAACCAAUGGAUUGGGAAGAUGUUGCAUAUGAGCAUGGAGUAAAUGAAGUGGCUAUGAAAUAAAUUCCAUGCUCAUUAAUGCUUAGACUGAAAUCCAUGUGGUAUGGUGAAAAUGAUAAGGUGAGUGUGGUAAAAAAGGAAAAGAAAAAGGAUACACGGACGACUUGGUUCGAAACUAGCACAACUACCGUUCCCCGGCAACGGCGCCAGAAAGCUUGUUGUGUAUUUUAAACGCAAACAAAAAAAUCCACAAGCGCACGGAUACCGAUGUAGCCUUCACCUAUGAGUAUUCCAGAGUAUCAAUUUUCCACAGGGAACGUGAGUGUACUAAUUAAGAUCCAAGAUCGCCCAAGGAUAACUAUAUAAUUAUUUUUUGGUGGGAAGAGAGGAAAUUUCCUGAGAGUUCUCUAAUUGAUCUAAGAAUCAAGAAUUACUUCAAAGAUUAUUUAUUUCGGGACAUCAGAACACUAACCACAGAAAGAGAUGAGAAGGUGGCUAGGAAGCUCUGACUACGGUCGUACAAACACCGAUCCGAACGAGGUGGAAUACGUCGACCGUUAGGGCUGUCACUACCCUAGGGCUACCACAACAAUCCGCAGGAUUGGGUGCAAUUCUAGGUAAUUGCAAGACUAAAUACCACGUCUAAUCUAUUAAUUACUACUCUAGCGUUAUAAAGACUAGAGCACUUGAUGCAAGUGGGAAUCCAAUAAAUAACUUGAAUGUAAAUAAAAAUAAUUAAAGAUAUCAGGAAUUAUGAAUUGAAGAACCUGGAGAACGAUGAAGAACGAACUAGUUGCUGCAAAAGUACAAUGUUGAGGAAGAUCUGACAGAUCUGGCUCCUCCUCCGCUCUCCUCUUCUCUCUCCCUAUUUUCUAGAUUACAACUAGAACUAACUAGAACUACAACUAGAGGAACUAGAACUAGAACUAGAUGAACUAGAGGGAUCCUCUCUACUUGGAUGAAGAAUUGAAACCCUAGCUUUGAUUCUGUAGAAGAGGUAUGAUCUCCAGGGGCCAGGGGGCCUUGCUUAUAUAGUGUUUUCAGGUGAAUCUGGGCCGUCGGAUCAAACUGACAUUAAUCGCACGGUUUUCCUUGAUCCUUUAGGUCGGUGGAACAUGAUCUCCGAAAAGGACUCUGUUUGGGCACUGUAGGUGGGCGGGCGCCCAGGAGAUUAGGGCGGGCGCCCUGCCUCCGAGCCCGAUCGCCUUCCCGUUCGUUCCCAUGGCUUCUGGAGUCUUCUAGAUGGUAGAAAAUUGUGCGGCACGUUAAUAUCUCUAUGUAAACCCGACGUGUGGGCCUUUCCUCCGUAUUUCCUGAUAACCCCAUGCAGAAAUAGACAAACACCAAAACUCGUGGAAUUUUGUCAGAUAAAACCAUAAGUUUGGGUGUUGGUUGCAUUUGGGUCCUUUUCCAUGAUUAGUUGACGGUUAAAUGUGAACAUUAAGGACCGUCAACACUUAUAUAGUCCACCCUCCGUUGAUAGGACAGGCAGAAUUUGUAUUGCGGAGUAAGUCUUGCAAUGUUCUAAUUUACUUUAGCAAUGUUCCUUAUACAUGAAUGAAGUGUCUUUUAUGCUAUAUAUGAUAUUGUAGAUAACUAGAGUAGAUUGUGACUUAGUAGAUAGUAGAUAACUUAGAAUCCAUUCUCUAGCUAAUCCGACGUCACCUUACAUAUAUGAGGAGUAGUCUAUUUUUAAUCGUUGUGUUAUUUACCCAAGAGCUUAUACUUCAUUAUCAUUAUUAUUAUGGCUUACCCCCUGCCAAAGUAAGUGACUGUGUGACGAGUUCCUCAUUAGUAAUCAUGUUCUUGCAAGUUUAUCUCUAGUCUAUGCCUUGAUAGAUUUAUCCAUAUCUUCAUUUAAUCCUUUUCUCCUGAGCAAAAUUAUAAAUAACGAUACCUAGAAUACUUACCUGGUGAAAUGCUAGAAUGAGGUGUUUUAUCUGUGCGCUUGCGGAUAGAAUAGAUUAUUUUCUAGAGAGCCUUUACAUUUAUAAAUACCUUUGUACACUCUGGCACCAUGCUGGGGAUGACAACCUAGUAUCUAAGUGGUGUUAGCUAGUGUCAACAAGCAUUUCUAGCGCCGUUGCCUGGGACCACACAAAAAAGGAAACACAUAGGAACGGUAAGGAAAGUUAGGAAAUCAGUCAAGGUUAUUCGCAUAAAUUAUUAGACUAGACUAUGGAGAAAUAAUUGCAUAAAAAACAGCUACUAAGUGAGAAAUCAUAACAAGGCACCUCUGCUUUGGCAGGUUCACCCUGUUGUUUUUCUAUGUUUAUAUUUUUAUACAGGGUAUGUCAGGAUUGACUUUGGUACAUUCAACUCUUCAUCAUCAGAACCAAAGCAAUCAAGAAGAAAGAAGAAGCUAGCUACCAAUUCCUGAAGCUAUGGCACAGAAAACCCUACGAGAAUUCUCUGCUCCAAACCUUGAGAACAUUCCAACUGGUCCAAGAAUUGCAGUAGGAAAUAUUGUCAGUUUUCAACAGCAGAAGACAGAAACCAUUCAAGAAGCAUGGGACCGUUUUCAAGGAUACAUAUCAGAUUGUCCUCACCAUGGAAUAGCCACAUGGUUACUUAUGCAUACCUUUUAUCAUGGAUUAACCCAGAAGGCUCGUGAGUACCUAGAUGCAUCUGCUAAGGGAUCAUUCUUGGAGCUUACAAUUGGAAAAGUAGAGAUACUUUUGGAUAAGAUAGCAGAAAACCAAAGCUGGUUCCAAGAUAAAGCUCAACAAUGUCAUCAAACUAAAGAAAUACCAGAAGAAGUAAAAGCAUUAUCAACCAAGAUGGAAAAUUUGCUCCAUUGGAUUGACCAGAGGGCAAAGUUCAAAGAAGAUCAAAGGGACAUUGAGACAGCAUACAAAUAUCAACCUACCUCGAGUCAACCCAAUAGCAAAGGUAUGAAUUCAGGUAACACUUUCAAGCAACUUUCAUUAAAAGAGAUAAUUGCUCAAUAUUGACGGUCCUUAAGUAUCAAAUUUAAUUAACAAAUAAACAAAGAAAAGGAUCCAAAUGAAAUCAACAUCUAGACUUAGGGUUUUAUCUGACAGAAUUCCACGAGUUUUGGUGUUUGUCUAUUUCUACAGGGGGUUAUCAGGAAAUACGGAAGAAAGGCCCACACGUCGGGAUUACAUAGAGAUAUCAACGUGCCAUGCAAUUAUCUUACAUCUAGAAGACUCCAAAAGCCACGGGAAGGAAGCGGAGGCCGAACGGGGCCAGGCACUGGGCGCCCGCCCAGUUGCCCUGGUCGCCCGCCCCCUCCUAGAGUCCAAACAGGACUCUCUUUCGGGAUCAAUCUCCACCAACCUAAAGGAUCAAGGAUAACCGUUCAAUCAAUGUCGGUUUGAUCCAACGGCCCAUAUUCACUUGAAGAGACUAUAAAACCAGACCGCUGGCCCCUGGAGGAGAGAGCCUCUCAACCCUAAUUCAUUAUUCCUCAAGGGAGAAGAAGCCCCUGAUCAAGAUUAGAGCCACCACAUCAAUUAGAUAUCCAGAUUAGCAUAGCAACAUAGGAUUAGAACUAGAAGGAGUCAAUCUUCAAUUGGUUUCCAGAUCUGUCAAGAGGAUUCUUGGUAAUUCUCUAAUUGUGCUUCUAAUUGUUCUUCUAAUCUUCUUUGUUCUUCAAUAUUAUGAAUAUGACUUUGUUCUACUUCAAUAUAUUGCUUAUGACUUUGCUCUACUUGUUUAUAUUCAAUAUUAUAUUGUUCUUAGUUUAUCAUAGUUAUGUACUUGGCUUAGUUAGAUUGGAUCUAUAUACAUGCUUAGGAUCGUAUAGCGUUUAUCCAUCGGAUCCAUGGGUAAAUGAUAGAUAUUGUGUAGGCAUGGUGCUUAUACCGUAUUUAUCUGCGAUUGUACCCAAUAUGCCAGAUCGUGGGGUAGUUCGUGAUAGUGACAGCUUCAUUGAUUCUUAUAUAGCCCCCCUCUCGUGUAUUGGGCUGGCAGAGCAACAUUAUUAUAGGGGAGUGAUUGCUAUGUUUCUCAUUUACCUUGCUAAUAUCACUAUGCAUGGGCGUAGUCUUGUCUCGCAAUGAUUGCUAAGUAUGCUUGCACUAACUAUGAUAAUGCUAGACUAUAUAGUUGAGAAUAACUUAGAAAAUAUUCUUGUAGUUCGUUCUAAUUCCAUGCUAAUGACUUUCUAGAGUAUCUAAUUGAGGUGCUUAUCAUAUUUAUUAUGUGGCUAGUUAUGCUGAUCUGAUUAAUUAUCUUUGUCACUAUUCAUUACUUCAUAUAUUCUUUAUGUGACACUUACCCCUGUAUGAGAGAGUUAGAUAAUUGUUCUCAAUUAUACAUGCAAUGAUAGAUACUCAAUCUCAUAUUCUAUUCUGUAAUCAAUAUUGAUGAUAGCUAAUCCCUUCCCAGUGGUAAAAAUAUAAAUAACGAUACCUGAAAUACUUCCCGGUUAAAAUGCUACAUCGGUAUUAAUCUGUGCGCUUGCAGAUCCUAUUCAUUAUUUAUUUAGAAGAGCAAUUGCAUAUUUCAAUAACGCGUCUCUCAUAUCAUGCUGGGGAUGACAACUUGGCUUAAGUGGUAUGAGGGAUAGGUUUGGCAUUUUUGGCACCGUUAUCAGAAUUAGAAAACUGUCUACUUUUGGUAAUGAUGUUAAAAAUACCCAACAAGCAUUUUUGGCGCCGUUGCCGGGGAAGGUUGAUUACUAAUCAGGAAUGGAUAUAGGAUUUCGAGUUAUCAUUCGCAUCACUAAUAAGAUUGAGCUUAUCUAUUCUCUCAUACAGUUUUACCCCGAUAUUUUUCCAUUUUAUCUUAUGCAGGGGAAUGUAUGAAUAAAAGACAUCUUCUAGGAAAUUUUGUUGACAAUCUCGAAGCCUUAUUCAGAAAAACUAGAGCCAAGCUCAAGAAGAGAUCAUCAACACUUCAGCAAGAAGCUUCAUCCAAUCAAGAAGAUCACCAGAACUUGUCUUUAGAAUUCGAAGCCAUGGAGAACAAAUCAAUCUGCAGUUCUCAGCUCCCACUACGGACAACAUCCGCACUGGACCUGCUGCAGAGAUCGACGACAACUUUGAGCUCAAGCCUGGACUUAUCAACAUGGUGCAAUCCAACUAGUUCUGUGGGAAGGCACACGAAGAUGCUAGUGCUCAUCUCCAACACUUUCUGGAGAUUUGCAGCACAUUUACCAUAUCAGGAGUCCCCAGAGAUGCUAUACUACUUCGCCUCUUCCCAUUCUCACUGUUAGGAAGAGCGAAGGAGUGGUUUUAUGCUACAAAGGAGAAGAAUACUACGUGGGCACUCUACUCAACAAACUUCCUGGCUAAGUUCUUUCCCAUGGGCAAGACCAAUGCUCUCUGUGGGAAGAUGACAAGUUUUCAGCAACAACAUGAUGAAUCUGUUCCAGAAGCAUGGGAGCGCUUCAAGACUACAUCCUAGAAUGUCCCCAUAAUGGAAUGGAGAGUUGGCUACUAAUGCAGAUGUUUUAUCAUGGGCUCGGCAACAAUGCCCGAGAGACCAUGGAUGCUGCAGCUGGAGGAGCAUUCCUAUCACUCACCAUAUCACAAGCCACAGCCCUUGUGGAGAAGAUGGCGUCCAACCAAAGCUGGAAUGAAGAGAGGACCCAGACACGCAAGAAAGGUGGAGGUAUGCAUCAGCUUAAGGAGGUAGACAUGCUGUCUGCAAAGCUAGACCUGCUCAUGAAGAAGCUCGAUGAUAGAACUGGAGAUAAGAAAGAAGUUAUGCACAUCUACGACUCUCACAUGACUUGUGAGGAGUGUGGAGACACUGGACACUCAGGCAAUCACUGCCCUGAGAUGCUUGAGGAUGUGAACUACAUCAGCAAUAACAAUAACAACUACUACAACCGUCCUCAACAAAAUCAUGGUUGGAAUCAACAGAGGCCUAACUACUCAGGUAAUUAUCAAGACAUGUUUGAUGCAGGUAACUGGAGUAACCCUGUUACUGAAGUGACUACUGACCUUCUUCCGGUCAAGAGAGGCGAUCCAGGAUGCCCCGUCAUCCCGAUCUCCAUCGGCAUGGUGGACUUCCCAGAAGCACUCUGUGACUUUGCUCCAGCGUCAACAUUAUACCCAGGGUACUCUAUGAAAAAUUCUUUACAUAUCCUUUAUUAGAAACAACCAUGUGUUUGCAGUUUGCAGAUCAGGCGUUAAGUUUUCCAAAAGGAAUAUUGAAGAACCUUUGUGUCCGAGUUGGUACCUUAUAUGCCCUAGUAGACUUCGUGGUGAUAGAGACCAGUAAUGAUGAGAGAGCACCCAUCAUCUUAGGGAGGCCAUUCUUAAACACCGCGGGAGCUGUCAUCUACGCUAGUGCUGCCAAGAUCAGUUUCUACAUCAAAGGGAGAAAGGAGACAUUUUUCUUCAAGAACAAGACUACACAAAUCCUAGAUCAAUCCAGACGUGAAUCAAGGAAGAGAACCAACAGGAGGAACAGGAACAAGCAAGUGUGGACCGAGUCAACUAAGAUGGUCACUGCAGUUCAUGGAGGCCAAGAUCACCAACUUAAGUCACCGUUUGUGACCAAGAAGGAUGACCCAGGAAUGCCAAGCAUCUAUUGCUCCAUAAAUGGAUAUAACUUCUACAAGACGACUUGUGACACCGGAUCGGGCGUCAACAUAAUGGCCGCAGUCACCUAUCGGCUCUUGUUCGGAACCAUGCCCUUAAAACCAACAUACAUUCAACUCCAGAUGGCAGAUCAGACAUUUCGAGAAGUCAAAGGAAUAGUAACCGAUGUCCCUGUCAAAAUAGACGAUCAUUUUGUCUACACAGACUUUCAGGUUAUUGACAUGGGAGAAGACGAAUAUGAUCCACCCAUCAUCCUUGGAAGACCAUUCCUCCGCACCGUUAAAGCAAUCAUCUACAUUGGAACUAGAGAAGUCCAUAUGCACUUCCCCUCAGAGAAGGUACGCCGCUAUUUUACUGACCCUAACUAUAUCGUUGCAGAAUCUAAGCAGGUCAGAAUGUGACGCAACCGCAACCAGAGGAGGCAAAUUAUCAAGGACGGAUGGGCAGACUAUGAAGGAGAAGUUGUAAGGUCAGAAGACAUAAAAUUUAAACAGAACCAUCAUGAGGAGACCGAAGCACCAAGUCAGGUGUGGAGAGAGAAGAUAACUAUACACGAAGAGGAGGCGCUGCCGGAAGUACCGACUCCGCCACCCAACGAUUCCAGGACAAUUGAAGAAAAUGGAGAGUCCCGUUCGGAGGACUUAAAAACACCGAACGCCUUGCCAAGAGGUAAACUUGGUAGUUAUCCUUUCUCUUUCAAUUAUUUAAAAUAGUUUACUUAAUUAGUUAUAUUUAUACUAUCCUAAAAACAAAAUAAAAAUGUUAAAAACAGUAAGCCCCAUGUGAGUAUACGAGUGGCAUGAAACCCAUAAGUACAUUCACUGUGGUGGCAUAAAAAUAAAAUAAAUAUUUCUUUUCUGCUUUAUAAAAUAAAAUAUAAAAACAGGGAGUAACAUUUAUUGAGGAGUCUCAACAUGAUGAAGGCUAGAUAUUUAUGCUAACACCUAAUCAGUUCCACAAAGCUUUGUUGUCUAUUUGAGCUCCACAGAAUUUAAGAAUCAAGAAGACUAGUAGACGGAGGACAUUCUAAUCGCUGUCAGAAUACUGCUGACUUUCAAAUACACCUCUGCCCCCUGCUAGCUACAUCAAAAGAAAUUACGUCAAAAUUCAGCUUGGGGGGAGAGCACCCCCAUUUAUCCCGAUGAGUAUUUCUAUCUAUCUUUACACUUAUAUUAUAUUAGAAUAUAAAUAUACAUAAACUAGGAAAAACCAAAUAAAGAUUUUGUGCCUAUAUAAAUAUAUGUCUUUCACUUAGUGUGUUUAAUGAAUAAAGUGGCCAUGCUAAACUGGAUUCUAAUAAAUAAAACUCUAGCAUGGAUAUGAUGAAUAGUUGCUCUGCCUAAUUUGCAAAUUUGAAGUUCUCUCACUAGUUUAGACAUAACUGUUAUAAUUUAGAACUUGCUCUAAACCUAAACUUGUGGGAUGAAAAUUUGAUCUGAAGUCUAAGUUGUUAACGGAUAUGAUAUGGGAAGGUUGAGCUGCUGUUUAUCUGUUCCUAGAGAUGCUAGAAUUCUAGAGAAUUUUAUCUUUGAAAAAUCUUUAAAAUAUUGCAUGAUGAGUUUCCUGUAUGAUGAGAGUUUAAAUUCGUACCAUAGCCAUAUAUACAUGCAUGCUAGACUUUGAGCCACACAUUUACUAUUUACUGCUUAUGAGCAUUGAGUGUGGUCAAGCUGUGUAGACCCUUAGGAGCUUGUCAUGUGGUUAAAUCAAGAUUCACUUGCACGUUCACUCACAUAUGCUGCUUCUACUCCGGAAGUACCAUCCACAUAUAUCCACCCAUUUCUAUCUCCAGAACCACCCAAAAAUAUUCUACUCCUAAUCCGAGAGAGAAUAGCCAAAAAUAUUUAUGUUCUUCCCCUGUGAAAUAAAUGCUCAAGUUAUCUUGUUACUACCACUUGCUAUAUUAUCUCAUGAGAUGAGUGCUCCAAAAAAAAAGAUAAGAAAAAAGUAUACGAGGAAAUAAAAAGGGGCAAGUGCCCGGAACCUCGAAAGAAAAAAAAAGAGUGAGACGAGAGGUAAAAAUGGACAAGUGUCCGACAGUAGAAUUAGGGGUACAAGAUACCCACCUGAGAGGAAAGAAAAAUAAAAAAGAAGAGCAUCUCAUUCUCCUCACAAAAUUUUAAAAAGCAAGGAAGGUAUGUAUCCCCUCAAAGAGCAAAAGUAGAAUUAGACUUCCACCAUUGUUAUCACCAACAUCACCAUACACCAUUCAUUCACCACACAUGCACAUCUUGAUUUGGCUUAUUGAUUUGUUUCUUUGAUCCAUGGUUUGACUAUGCAAUAAAUGUCUUGUGAGUAUGUAUACUUUAUCUCCCACCUAUAAGCUCCAGAUAUUAAAGCCUUAUUAGAGUAGGGUGAGAGAGAAGGCAAUGUCACUAUGCCAUAUACCAUAAAUACCACAUACUUUGAGAGAAGGCAUAUACGAUCACUACCUUGGUAAGGAUCCAGAAAUACCAUAAAAGAGAGAUCUGAGAGAAUCAUACAAGGAAUCUCUGAGUUUUAUUUGAAAAUCUGCAAAAACUCCAGAGCUAUAGCUGAUCAAGAAUAAGAGACAUGACACUUGAUUAGACUGUUCUAUCUUUUAACUACUCAAGACCGAAGUGACGGUUACAAGUCCCAUGGUGAAAGGUAAAGUAAGUAAGUUUUAAGUCUUGACAGUUUACUCUGACUCAGGGAUGAGAUCUUAUUUAAAAGCAUGUGUACCAUCAAUUUUUAAAAGUAUUGCAGCAACUUCUAAUCUAUCCUUGCUCAGGGACGAGCAAGAGGUAAGCUUGGGGGAGUUUGUUGACGGUCCUUAAGUAUCAAAUUUAAUUAACAAAUAAACAAAGAAAAGGAUCCAAAUGAAAUCAACAUCUAGACUUAGGGUUUUAUCUGACAGAAUUCCACGAGUUUUGGUGUUUGUCUAUUUCUGCAUGGGGUUAUCAGGAAAUACGGAAGAAAGGUCCACACGUCGGGAUUACAUAGAGAUAUCAACGUGCCGCGCAAUUAUCUUACUACUGGAGUCCAAACAGGACUCUCUUUCGGGAUCAAUCUCCACCGACCUAAAGGAUCAAGGAUAACCGUUCAAUCAAUGUCGGUUUGAUCCCAUGACCCAUAUUUACUUGAAGGGACUAUAAAACCAGACCCCCUGGUCCCUGGAGGAGAGAGCCUCUCAACCCUAAUUCAUUAUUCCUCAAGGGAGAAGAAGCCCCUGAUCAAGAUUAGAGCCACCACAUCAAUUAGAUAUCUAGAUUAGCAUAGCUACAUAGGAUUAGAACUAGAAAGAGUCAAUCUUCAAUUGGUUUCUGGAUCUGUAAAGAGGAUUCUUGGUAAUUCUCUAAUUGUUCUUCUAAUCAUCUUUGUUCUUCAAUAUUAUGAAUAUGACUUUGUUCUACUUCAAUAUAUUGCUUAUGACUUUGCUCUACUUGUUUAUAUUCAAGAUUAUAUUGUUCUUAGUUUAUCAUAGUUAUGUACUUGGCUUAGUUAGAUUGGAUCUAUAUACAUGCUUAGGAUCGUAUAGCGUUUAUCCAUCGGAUCCAUGGGUAAAUGAUAGAUAUUGUGUAUGUGUGGUGCUUGUACCGUAUUUAUCUGCGAUUGUACCCAAUAUGCCAGAUCGUGGGGUAGUUCAUGAUAGUGACAGCUUCAUUGAUUCUUAUAUAGUCCCCCUCUCGUGUAUUGGGCUGGCAGAGCAACAUUAUUAUAGGGGAGUGAUUGCUAUGUUUCUCAUUUACCUUGCUAAUAUCACUAUGCAUGGGCAUAGUCUUGUCUCGCAAUGAUUGCUAAGUAUGCUUGCACUAACUAUGAUAAUGCUAGACUAUAUAGUUGAGAAUAACUUAGGAAAUAUUCUUGUAGUUCGUUAUAAUUCCAUGCUAAUGACUUUCUAGAGUAUCUAAUUGAGGUGCUUAUCAUAUUUAUUAUGUGGCUAGUUAUGCUGAUCAGAUUAAUUAUCUUUGUCACUAUUUAUUACUUAUAUCCUUUAUGUGACACUUACCCCUGUAUGAGAGAGUUAGAUAAAUGUUCUCAAUUAUACAUGCAAUGAUAGAUACUCAAUCUCAUAUUCUAUUCUGUAUUCAAUAUUGAUAAUUGCUAAUCCCUUCCCAGUGGUAAAAAUAUAAAUAACGAUACCUGGAAUACUUCCCGGUUAAAAUGCUACAUCGGUAUUAAUCUGUGCGCUUGCAGAUCCCAUUCAUUAUUUAUUUAGAAGAGCAAUUGCAUAUUUCAAUACCGCAUCUCUCAUAUCAUGCUGGGGAUGACAACUUGGUUUAAGUGGUAUGAGGGAUAGGUUUGGCAUUUUUGGCACCGUUAUCAGAAUUAGAAAACUGUCUACUUUUGGUAAUGAUGUUAAGAAUACCCAACACUCAACAAAUAAAAACUAAUGAUGAAGUUAAACAAAGGCUAGAUACAAAUGAAUCAUCUCUAAAAGAAAUACACAAUAAAAUGGAUUUUCUAUUAACUGCCUUUGAUGAGCAAAACACUCUUAAUAAAAGGGUAGAGCUUAAAUUAAUAAAGCUAGCUGCUGCAUUGCCUGCUGCCACUAACAUUGAGCAGGUAAAGAACAUAACUACUAGAGGAGGCAAAGCCACCAGGGAUCCCCCAUACCCAAAAGAGAAACAAAGAACAUCAGCACCAGUGCAACCAACAGUGAUAGAAGAAGAAAGCCCAGUUGAAGCAGAAGAUCUGCUACAACCACCAAGAACUGGAGAGAUGAGGAAAGAUUUUUACGACACCAACUAUUUGCCAUUUCUCAGAAGAAACAGAGGACUGCAGUCGGAUGAGUAGUUUGGUAAGUUUGUAGAGGUCAUUUAGAAAUUAUAUGUCAACAUACCUCUACUUGAUGCCAUACAGGUACCCACAUAUGCAAAGUACAUCAGAGAUAUUCUUAACAAGAAGAGACCACUGCCCACCACUGAGGUUAUCAAGCUGACAGAAGAAUGUAGUGCGGCCAUCCUCAUCAAACCACCAAGGAAGAAGAAGGAUCCAAGAUGUCCCACUAUUGAUUGCUCGAUCGGAAACCAACACUUCAACAAUGCACUUUGUGAUCUCGGAGCAAGUGUCAGUGUGAUGCCAGCAUCGGUCUACGAGAAGCUUGAUCAUACGACCCUAGAACCAACAUCAAUGUGCCUACAACUAGCAGAUCAAUCAGUUCGACACCCGUUGGGCAUCGCUGAAAACAUUCCAGUCAAGAUAAGAGAUUUCCUUAUGCCAGUAGACUUCGUGGUACUGGACAUGAGUCCUGACUCAAAAGUGUCCAUCAUCCUUGGAAGGCCAUUUCUGAACACUGCCAAUGCCCACAUUGAUGUCGGGAAGGGAGAAAUCAAGUUCAACAUAAACGGAAAAGAAGAACACUUCACAUUUAAGCCUAGACCAGAGAGAGACUCUACAGUGAAGGAAGUUCAUGAAGAAGAACCACUAGAGACACCAUCUCCAGAGAAAGGUAAUUCAGAAGAUUAAAGGAUUUGGAGGUCCAGCUUGGGGGACCCAAAAAUCCCAAACCCUCACCGGGAGGUAAAUCGGUAUUUAUCUGCAUCAUUAAAUUUCUGCAUAUUUAAUUCUUGUAUUAGUUAUAUUUAUUCAUAGCAUUAUGAAAAGCCCCAUACAAAUAAUAUUUGUGGUGUGUGACAACUCAUAUUUAUUAAUUAUUGUGGAGGCACAAAAAUAUUUUUUUAUCAUUUCAGAUAAAUUUCAAUUCUCAUAGAUUUUCCUGCAUUAUAUUAUAUUAUAUUAUAGCAACCUUCUAGAAGCAUGACCCACACUCCUUGGGUCCCGCAGGGAAAAGGAAGUUUACCAGUAGCUAAAGAACAAAGAUUUCAUUCACACCCCCACUCUUGAUCCUAUCUUGCUACAAGAAACAGGUAUGGAUACUGAAUUCGAUUUGAUUUUCCAGAUGGUGGGAUGGACAAAUUUUUGGAACAUAACUGAGCUGGGUUCCCGUCUUCUCACCCUUGAAUUUCUUUGCACUUUACAAUACUAUGAGGGGGGAAUUUGUUUUCGGAUGUUUAAACAUGACAUUAUGUUGUCUUGGAGAGAACUGAGCGACCAUCUCGGUUUCUCUUCAAGAUGCAUCUUGAACAUUGAUUCCAACUUACCCAAUUUUGAGAGACACCAGUUCUGGAAAGAGAUAUCUAGAGAUGAGUUUUAUAGCCAAGCCCGAACCAGUGACAUGAAACACCCCACUCUUAGGAUGUUCCACAAAUGGCUCGGAUACAAUCUUUUCUAUCGUGAUGAUAUUAGAAAAGUAAGAGUAGGAGACUUACAACUUCUAUAUGCUGCUAUAAAUAAAGUACCCACUUCACCUGUUACACUUUUGGUUUCUCAUUGGCUUAGUAUACCUAGUCUUCAGGGACCAGUAGGGUGUACUUCACUUAUCACUCAUCUAGCCUCUAGUCUUCAUUUGCUAGAAAACUCAUCAUUGGAAUUCAUAGCCGAGUUACGAAUAUAUCAUGGAUAUGACACUUUUAGGCAAGCUCGGAUGUUAAAGAAAGAGGGAAACAUAAUGUAUAUGUUAUAUGAUAAUAAAGGCAAGAUUCGGUUACCUAACCCGAACCUUGGCCUCUAUGUUGUUCAAAAUUAUUUGAUUGAGAUUGCAGUGACACCGGCAAACCAGAAAGCUCCACAACGAGUGGCAUCUGAAAGGAUGACCACCCAUCAAGAACACACCUGGUAUGGAGCUGAUCCCGGGCCGGAAAAAGCAGCGCAGCUGCAUUAUUGCGACUACAACCCUCGAGUUCUUCGGGACCCAUGGUGUCGGUGUUUUGCCCCUGGGGGUCACACCAACGAGUAAAACUUGUGUAUGCGUGCUCCCCUUUCCAGAUGGUGAUGCAGGAAAAGACACAAGGAUUUAUCCUGGUUCGGGCAAGAGAAGGCCCUACGUCCAGGGGGGAGUGUUUGUAUUAUCUUGCACCUAAGUGCUUGUACAGGGGUGAGUACAGGCGUGGUAUGAACGAAGAUGGAGUAAGGUUGCUCUACUGCGUAUGAAUUGUGUUGUCCCAUAUCCACUCCUGGGCUUCCCCUUUUAUAGUUCCAAGGGGAGGCCUAGGUUACAUGCAUAGGCGACAGAGUAGGGGUCGAUAGGGGUGCGGCACGCUGACCUACUCGAGGCCUCCGUACCGGCGUGGCCUCGAGCCGUCUUGUCGUGGUACCUUGAUGAUGAUUACGCGUGCCCCUGAAUCCUGCUCCUGUGCGCCGUCUUGGACUGGUUUAUCUGUUGCAUGCUUGUACGUCGUGGUAGCAGCCACGUCGGAGUGGUUGAGGUGCAGUCAUUCAUCGCCCGAUCCUUCCCUAGGAAGGAAAUGUGCCUACUCGAGGGUCAGGUGCCGUGUAACGCCUCGCUGGCCUGAGAGCUGACUUUGGGCGUCUCGAGGGGGGUCUUGACCAAAUGUUCCGACCCACUCCCUGCGCCCUACCACGUUCUGACUUGUUUGGUGGGGAAGGCUGCAAAAAGAAUGACAGGACGGGUGCUUGUUCCCUAUCACGCUUCUUGUGACUGACGGGUUAGGUGAGAACGCGGCAGGCGCAUUAAAUGCCCUGGUUCCCGUGCCCGCAUCAGGCAGCAGGCGGCGUCCUUGCGCUCGAGGCCUUUCGAUUCGUACGAGCCUGUUUCCGUAUUUGACGGUAGCCGGCGCUCGAGCCCUGGUUGAUUCGCGGGACGCUCUUUCCGUGUUCGUGGCUACGGUCGUCGAGGACCGUGCGUACAACUGGGGGCGUCUAGUCCAAGGCCUCGACUUUUGUACAGAUGCUCUUGCUAUGCAUAUCAGUUAGGGUACCCCUUGUUGAUAUCCUCGACAGUAGCCCCCGAGUCUCUAUUCGAGCGCUUGCGCUCGAGUGGUGGCUCUUUUUCGUGGUCGAGUUUCUGUGGGGGCACGCGAGCGACCCCGCGGGGGUAGCCCCCGAGCCCUUGGAGGAGUUUUUGACUCCUUCGAGGGUUAUAUUGCCUAAUCUGUGGAAGCGCUCUUGACGUUCGUUGUGGUAGGCGAGCCAGAGGCUUCGAUCGGUUUGUAUUGCGCAGGGGUUGCGACGUACUCCCGGUGGAGCGAGCGCCGUUUAUCCCAGAUUGAGUUCCUAGCGGGUAAUCCAAGUGAGAACCUGUGCCCCGUUCGAGGGGGUCAGCUGUAGCCCGGAGGCGUUCUCAUAAAGCGGGGUCGACGUGGUCGGGGUUACUGGUCUCGUUCGAUAGAGUCCAGCGGCUCGAUGCCUCCCUUCGGGGGGAAUCCUCUCGACCGUCUCGACCCCACCUUUUACAUCCCCAGCGAGUUCUCGUGGCGUUCCUCGAUUUUCGACCAUUCGCUGGGCAUCCCUGAAUCUGGUACUCGAGAUCGGCUGUCGAACCCAUUCGGUGGGUCAGCCUGCGACCUCUCGAGAUUUUUGCCGUAACGAAUGCAUACCUUAGCUUACAGGGGAAGGAAGAGGUUGUGGCGGUUCACCUUUUUGCCCAUUGGGCGCAUCUUUUCAGGCGGGAGCCGUUGCGGCAUUGUACCGGUGCGGAAUUCGUAGCGUCCCGUCUAUGAGAGAGAUAAGGACCGUUAGGCGGUGCAUUUACUAGGGGAGUUACCGUAUCCGUCGGAUCCGUCCAUUGGUGGGUCGCCGUCUAUAAAUAUCCUCAGGUCUCUCUGCCGUUGCUUCUUCCACCUUCCGCUCUUGCUCUCAUUUCUGCGUCCUUGCCAUCUCACGCGCGCGCGCCCUCAAGCAGUAGCAGAGCCGCUCUCCUUCCUCCUGAAGAUGCCGGUGAGACUUAUCACCGCUGAUGAUUGGCGCCGAUCGUCGAUGACGGAGCGCUGGUUGCUGGAGCUCGAGAAGGAAGGACCCCUGCGCCCCCACACUUCGUCGUCACGGCCAGAGUGGAUCGCGCCGGCGGCGGACCACCGGGAGCCAAGGCCGCCAAAGGGCUACGUGGUCUCCUUCGCCAAAUUCCACCGCCACGGCCUGGGCUCCCCUUCGAGUCGCUUCAUGCGGGCGCUCUGCCACCACUACGGGGUGGAGCUCCAGCAUUUUUCCCCGAACGCCAUUACCGCCGUGGCAGUUUUCGCCGCGGUGUGUGAGGGCUACCUCAGGAUGAUGCCACACUGGGAGCUGUGGCUUCACCUGUACCGGGGCGAGCUCUUCAAUGCCCCCGGCGGAACCACAGGGGUGAGGAAGCUGGUGCGGGCCAGGUGCCUCAACCUAGUGCUGAAGACCGGCAAGUCGGAGAAGCCGCGGGAGUACAUCCCGGUGGGGUUGACUUCGAACCACUGCACGCCGGGUGGGACUCCCAGUGGUUCUACCUGCGGAACAACGAUGACCUCCCUGCCUACAUCGGGCGCUUGAUCUCGGAGCACCCGGACCAUUGGAGGUACGGCGUUGUCCAAGCCCACCAAUCUCGGCUUGACCCCAUCCUCGACGCCCUGAAGAAGCUACGUGAGGAGGGCCUAAUGGCAGCGCUCGUCCUUUCCGUCGUACAUCAUCGACGUGUGCUUCCGUUGAUGUCCCGACCGUUGAGGAUGGACGAGAUGGGCCCUGGUGUCUCAUCUCGUGUUCUCGAGGCUUGCCGGAUGUCUAAUAAAGCGCCUGCGGACGACGAGGUGGCCGCCAGAGUCAGGGCGGUCGUUGCGGGUGACUUUAAGUCUGAGCAUGUCAAUGGCUUCCCUAUGAGGCCCGACCAGGGAUCGAUUGACCUGGUAAGUCCCUUUUCCACUUAUGGCUUCCAUUCUUGGUUUUCUUCGACCUUCUUUAAGACUUAUCGUUGCUCACGUAGGCAUCAAUCGACGCUCGGUCCUCGAAGCCUCCAGUGAAGGAGGAUGACGUGGAUCGCGACAAGAGGCGCGAGUCCACGGAGAAGGUGAAGUCUGCAAAGGACAUGGAAAAGAAAAAGGACAAGAAGAAGAAUCUCACGCGACAAGCAUUGGAGGCUCGUCGAGCGAAGUCCAGGCAGAGGGGGGAGCCUGAGGAAGAAUCCCCUGAUGAGGAUGAUGGCGGCGACGGUGACGACGACAGCGACGACUCCGAGGGGAUGGCGUCCCGUCUCGACAGGAUCCUCGAGGGUCCGCCUCAGACCGGCGUCGACAUCCCGCGGACAGGAGUCCCUAAGGGGCUCCAAGCGGGCCUCGUGAGAGUCAACAGAGGGAGUCAUCCCCGCGCCGUUCUCGCACCGACACCCCUCCAGCGCCUGCGCAAGGUCGAACCGUCCCCCGCCCCCAACCUCCCCCUGCAUCUAAGGCGGGCGACCGGGUUAAGUCUCUGGCGACGGGGCCGUUGACCCAUGGCCGCGCCGUGGCCUCGAGUAAAGGGGAAACGGGCCGUGGGAGUACUAGUCCAGGCGCUAGCCAGGCGGGAGACGCCGGGCCGAGACUUGCGCCCGUUCGUGAGGGGCCCGGAGCCUCGACGCGGGGUGGCUCGCGGCCUGCUGGUCGAGGCGCCGGUAGGUGGGUCGCCCUUCCUGUGGGGUAAGAUCUUCGACGUUACGAUUCUCACCUUCCGAUGUCUUCGCAUUUUCUCGGGUGACAGCUUCUCUUACGCUUGUUUCUCUCUCUCAGGUUGAAGCGGACGCUCGAACAGGCCCAGCCCUCGAUGGCCAAGAGGCUUAAGGUGGGAGCGUCCUCCAAAGACUCAGGUUAGCGGUUCAUUCCCGUCAUCAUGGGAGUCGUGUUGCCCUUAUGUCGAUCAUCAUGGCGAUCGACUUUUUGCUUUUGAGUGCUUACAGGCUCCUCCGAUCCUCGACCGUCGACUAGUGUCGAGAGCGCCCCGCCUCGUCCAUUGGUGGGGGAGUCCACCCCGCCGUCGCCAAAGCGGGUCGAGGCGCCUCGCUCCCAAGAGCAGGAGGGAGCCCCCGUGCCUCCCUGAGCUGGGAUCGAGGGGGAUCCUAUAACAAUAAGUGACGGGUCCGGCGGUGACAGGCCUUCGAAGGACGCCCGCCCCACGGAUGAGGAGGUCGAGGCCUCUCCUGUCACGAAGCGGACGCCUUGGCCCAUCGGGCUCCACUCUGUCGAGGAGCUGAGGAAGAGAGGAGAGAAAGAACAUGAGCGGGAGAUGCAGGAACAGCUGUAGGAGGGGCAGCAGCAGCCGCAGCGGGAAGGAGAAGGAGAGGAGGGGCGGCGGCCAGAAGGAGCCCAGCUCGAGGAGCUGCUGGAGCAGGACCGGCAGCAGGAGCUACGGGAGCUCCAGGAGCAGUAGCAUCAGAGGAGCCAACAGUUAGAGGAACUGCUCGAGCCAUCACCACGCAGUCCGCCCUAGCCAGUGCCGCCAACGCCACAAGAGUCUGAGACCAGGGAGGAGGGUCUGCCGGUCUAUGGUCCGCCGACCCCGGCGUGGCUCCGUCCAGGAGCGCCUGCUUCUAUCCCGGCCGAGUCAGGGCGGGCGGAUGGCGUGGUGGCGCUCGCUUGCAUGAUGCGCACCCCGGUGGACCCUCAGUCCGAGAUCAAGGGCAUAAUCUACGGCUGUUGGGUAUUCUUAACAUCAUUACGAAAAGUAGACUAAGUUCUCUAAAUCUAGUAACGGUGCCAAAAAUGCCAAAUCUAUCCCUCAUACCACUUAAGCCAAGUUGUCAUCCCUAACAUGACAUGAGAGACGCGGUAUUGAAAUAUGCAAUUGCUCUUCUAAAUAAAUAAUGAAUGGGAUCUGCAAGCGCACAGAUUAAUACCGAUGUAGCAUUUUAACCGGAAAGUAUUCCAGGUAUCGUUAUUUAUAUUUUUACCACUGGGAAGGGAUUAACAAUCAUCAAUAUUGAUUAUAGAAUAGAAUAUGAGAUUGAGCAUCUAUCAUUGCAUAUGUAAUUGAGAACAUUUAUCUAACUCUUCAUACAGGGAUAAGUGUCACAUAAAAGAUAUAUGAAAUAAUGAAUAGUGACAAGGAUAAUUAAUCUGAUCAGCCACAUAUAAAUAUGAUAAGCACCUCAAUUAGAUACUCUAGAUAGUCAUUAGCAUGGUAUUAGAACGAACUACAAGAAUAUUCCCUAAGUUAUUCUCAACUAUAUAGUCUAGCAUUAUCAUAAUUAGUGCAAGCAUACUUAGCAAUCAUUGCGAGACAAGACUACGCCCAUGCAUAGUGAUAUUAGCAAGGUAAAUGAGAAACAUAGCAAUCACUCCCCUGUAAUAAUGUUGCUCUGCCAGCCCAAUACACGAGAGGGGGACUAUAUAAGAAUCAAUGAAGCUGUCACUAUCACGAACUACCCCACGAUCUGGCAUAUUGGGUACAAUCGCAGAUAAAUAUGGUAUAAGCACCACGCCUACACAAUAUCUAUCAUUUACCCAUGGAUCCGAUGGAUAAACGCUAUACGAUCCUAAGCAUGUAUAUAGAUCCAAUCUAACUAAGCCAAGUACAUAACUAUGAUAAACUAAGAACAAUAUAAUCAUGAAUAUAAGCAAGUAGAGCAAAGUCAUAAGCAAUAUAUUGAAGUAGAACAAAGUCAUAUUCAUAAUAUUGAAGAACAAAGAUAAUUAGAAAGCAAUUAGAGGCACAAUUAGAGAAUUACCAAGAAUCCUCUUGACAGAUCCGGAAACCAAUCGAAGAUUGACUCCUUCUAGUUCUAAUCCUAUGUAGCUAUGCUAAUCUAGAUAUCUAAUUGAUGUGGUGGCUCUAAUCUUGAUCAGAGGCUUCUUCUCCCUUGAAGAACAAUGAAUUAGGGUUGAGAGGCUCUCUCCUCCAGGGGCCAGGGGGUCUGGUUUUAUAGUCCCUUCAAGUGAAUACGGGCCGUUGGAUCAAACCGACAUAGAUUGUAUGGUUUAGAUUCAUCCUUUAGGUCGUGGAGAUCUCCCACGAAGCAGAGUCCUGAUUGGACUUAGGGAGGGGGCGGGCGCCCAGGGGAACAGGGCGGGCGGCCUGCCUCUGGCCCCGUUUCGUCUCCGCUUCGGUCUCGUGGCUUCUGGAGUCUUCUAGAUGUAAGAUAAUUGCGCGGUACGUUAAUAUCUCUAUAUAAUCCCGACGUGUGGGCCUUUCUUCCGUAUUUCCUGAUAACCCCCUGCAGAAAUAGACAAACACCAAAACUCGUGGAAUUCUGUCAGAUAAAACCCCAAGUCUGGAUGUUGAUUUCAUUUGGAUCCUUUUCUUUGUUUUUUUAAUAAUUAAAUUUGAUACUUAAGGACCAUCAACAAACUCCCCCAAGCUUACCUCUUGCUCGUCCCUGAGCAAGGAUAAUCUCAGCGAUGGAUCAUAAGUUGUUGCAAUAUCUUAAAAAUUUGACGGUACACAUGCUUUUAAAAUAAGAUCUCAUCUCCGAGUUAGAGUAAACUAUCAAGACUUAAAACUUACUUACUUUACCUUCACCAUGGGACUUGUAACCGUCACUUCUGUCUUGAGUAGUUAAAAGAUAGAACAGUCUAGCCAAGUGCCAUGUCUCUUAUUCUUGAUCAGCAAUAGCUCUGGAGUUUUUGCAGAUUUUCAAAUAAAAUCUCAGAUAUUCCUUGUAUGAUUCUCAAAUCUCUCUUUUGUGGUAUUUUUGGAUCCUUACCAAGGCAGUGAUGGUAUAUGCCUUCUCUCAAAAAUAUGUAGUAAUUGUGGUAUAAAGCAUAGUGACAUUGUCUUCUCUCUCACCAUACUCUAAUAAGGCUUUUAAUAUCUGGAGCUCAUAGGUGGGAGAUAAAAUAUACAUACUUACAAGACAUGUAUUGCAUAGUCAAACCAUGGAUCCAAAGAAACAAAUCAAUAAGUCAAAUCAAGAUGUGCAUGUGUGGAGAAUGAAUGGUGUAUGGUGAUGAUGGUGACAACAAUGGUGAAAGUCUAAUUCUACUUUUGCUCUUUUGAGGGGAUAUAUACCUUUCUUGCUUUUUGAAACUUUAUGAGGAGAAUGAGAUGCUCUUCUUUUCUUUUCUCUCAAGUGAGUAUCUUGUACCCCUAAUUCUACUGUCGGACACUUAUCCAUUUUUACCUCUCGUCUCACUUUUUCUUUUCUUUCGAGGUUCCGAGCACUUGCUCCUUUUUAUUUCCUCGUAUCUCUUUUUUUUCUCUCUUUUUUUAGAGCACUCACACUACUAGGUAUGUGCUCAUUAAUGACACUACUCUUUCGUCACUGAAGAUAUCAAAAUCGUCAUGGAGUUUCUUUUGUGACGAAUUAGUGACAAAAUAGUGUUCGUCAUGGAAUGAGCGUCAUUGAUUGACAACGGUGACGAAAUGGCAAUUUUCGUCAUAGAUGAGGUCCUAUUCUAUGACGAAAAUACCAUCGUCACAGAAGAGAUUUCAUUCCAUGACAAAACGUUUUCGUCAUUGUUGUGCCCAACUUUUCGUCAUAGCAUGGCAAUCUGUUAGGCUACCAAACAGCGUUUGCCAUGCUGGCAGCUGACAUGGCCGCCACGUGGCGUGCUGACGUGGCCACCAUGUUGCAUGCUGACUGACUGCCACGUGUCGUGUUGCCAUGGCUUCCAAGUGGCAUGCUGACGUGGCAUCCUCCACGUGUCC